UACGAAGGGGGCUAGCGUUGCUCGGAAUUACUGGGCGUAAAAGAGCUCGUAGGCGGUUUGUCGCGUCUGCUGUGAAAACUGGAGGCUCAACCUCCAGCCUGCAGUGGGUACGGGCAAACUAGAGUGCGGUAGGGGAGAUUGGAAUUCCUGGUGUAGCGGUGGAAUGCGCAGAUAUCAGGAGGAACACCGAUGGCGAAGGCAGAUCUCUGGGCCGUAACUGACGCUGGAGGAGCGGAAAGCAUGGGGAGCGAACAG
rnacentral:rRNA from 1 species